rnacentral:rRNA from 1 species
AUGAAACAACAACUGGUACCGUAUAGAAGGGGCCAUAAACUGGAGAGUCUUGACCAAUUCGAAAGAUCAUUUGGUGUAGUUGAAAUAACAGAAUUGGAACUUGUUUGGUCAAGUAAGGGAAAAUCAAUCAAAGUAUUGUUAGACGGCCUACCUGAACAGGCUUUUUAUUUGGUGGGUAACAUCGAUGAAGCUAGCACGAAAGCUAUAACCUUAGAAGAGGAGAACAAAUCGAAGAAAUGA